GACGAACGCUGGCGGCGUGCUUAACGCAUGCAAGUCGAACGGAAAGGCCCUGCUUGCAGGGUGCUCGAGUGGCGAACGGGUGAGUAACACGUGGGUGAUCUGCUCCUUACUUUGGGAUAAGCCUGGGAAACUGGGUCUACUACUGGAUAGGACCAUGCUGUAGGUGGUGUGGUGGAAAGAUUCGUUUCGGUAAGGGAUGAGCUCGCGGCCUAUCAGCUUGUUGGUGGGGUAAUGGCCUACCAGGGCGUCGACGGGUAGCCGGCCUGAGGGGGUGGACGGCCACAUUGGGACUGAGAGACGGCGCAGACUCCUACGGGAGGCAGCAGUGGGGAAUAGUGGACAAUGGGAGAAAGCAGGAUGCAGCGACGCCGCGUGGGGGAUGACGGGCUGCGGGUUGUAAACUCCUUUCAGCCAUGACGAAGCGCUUGUGGUGACGGUAGUGGUAGAAGAAGCACCGGCUAACUACGUG
rnacentral:rRNA from 1 species